AUGAAUUUGAGACUGAGCUGUGUUUUUAUUGUUGUCCUUUUAAAAGGUGUCCAGUGUGAGGUGAAGCUGGAGGAGUCUGGAGGAGGCUUGGUGCAACCUGGAGGGUCCAUGAAACUCUCUUGUGUCACCUCUGGAUUCACUUUUACUAACUACUUUAUGAAUUGGGUUCGCCAGUCUCCUGAGAAGGGGCUGGAAUGGGUUGCACAAAUUAGAAACAAAGUUAAUAACUAUGCAACAUAUUAUGCGGAUUCUGUGAAAGGCCGAUUCACCAUCUCAAGAGAUGAUUCCAAAAGUAGUAUUUUCCUGCAAAUGAACAGCUUAAGAGCAGAAGACACUGGCGUUUAUUACUGUACAGGCCACAGUGAGAAGCCUUCAUUGUGA